GCUUGCACUCUGUGAAACAAGAUACAGGCUAGCGGCGGACGGGUGAGUAACACGUGGGUAACCUGCCCAAGAGAUCGGGAUAACACCUGGAAACAGAUGCUAACACCGGAUAACAACAGAUGAUGCCUAUCAACUGUUUAAAAGAUGGUUCUGCUAUCACUCUUGGAUGGACCUGCGGUGCAUUAGCUAGUUGGUAGGGUAACGGCCUACCAAGGCGAUGAUGCAUAGCCGAGUUGAGAGACUGAUCGGCCACAUUGGGACUGAGACACGGCCCAAACUCCUACGGGAGGCAGCAGUAGGGAAUCUUCCACAAUGGACGCAAGUCUGAUGGAGCAACGCCGCGUGAGUGAAGAAGGGUUUCGGCUCGUAAAGCUCUGUUGUUGGUGAAGAAGGACAGGGGUAGCAACUGACCUUUGUUUGACGGUAAUCAAUUAGAAAGUCACGGCUAACUACGUGCCAGCAGCCGCGGUAAUACGUAGGUGGCAAGCGUUGUCCGGAUUUAUUGGGCGUAAAGCGAGUGCAGGCGGCUCGAUAAGUCUGAUGUGAAAGCCUUCGGCUCAACCGGAGAAUUGCAUCAGAAACUGUCGAGCUUGAAUACAGAAGAGGAGAGUGGAACUCCAUGUGUAGCGGUGAAAUGCGUAGAUAUAUGGAAGAACACCGGUGG
rnacentral:rRNA from 1 species